AUUGAACGCUAGCGGGAUGCUUUACACAUGCAAGUCGAACGGCAGCGCGGACUUCGGUCUAGCGGCGAGUGGCGAACGGGUGAGUAAUGUAUCGGAACGUGCCCAGUAGCGGGGGAUAACUACGCGAAAGCGUAGCUAAUACCGCAUACGCCCUACGGGGGAAAGCAGGGGAUCGUAAGACCUUGCACUAUUGGAGCGGCCGAUAUCGGAUUAGCUAGUUGGUGAGGUAACGGCUCACCAAGGCGACGAUCCGUAGCUGGUUUGAGAGGACGACCAGCCACACUGGGACUGAGACACGGCCCAGACUCCUACGGGAGGCAGCAGUGGGGAAUUUUGGACAAUGGGGGCAACCCUGAUCCAGCCAUCCCGCGUGUGCGAUGAAGGCCUUCGGGUUGUAAAGCACUUUUGGCAGGAAAGAAACGUCGCGGGCUAAUACCCCGUGGAACUGACGGUACCUGCAGAAUAAGCACCGGCUAACUACGUG
rnacentral:rRNA from 1 species